rnacentral:rRNA from 1 species
UACGUAGGCAGCAAGCGUUGUUCGGAGUUACUGGGCGUAAAGGGUGUGUAGGCGGUCCUCUAAGUUUGGUGUGAAAUCUCCCGGCUCAACUGGGAGGGUGCGCCGAAAACUGGGGGGCUAGAGUACUGGAUGGGAGAGUGGAAUUCCUGGUGUAGCGGUGAAAUGCGUAGAUAUCAGGAGGAACACCUGUGGUGUAGACGGCUCUCUGGACAGUAACUGACGCUGAGGAGCGAAAGCGUGGGGAGCGAACAGG